rnacentral:rRNA from 1 species
AGUGAACGCUGGCGGUAGGCCUAACACAUGCAAGUCGAACGGCGGCACAGUAAGAGCUUGCUCUUACGGGUGGCGAGUGGCGGACGGGUGAGGAAUACAUCGGAAUCUACUUUUUCGUGGGGGAUAACGUAGGGAAACUUACGCUAAUACCGCAUACGACCUACGGGUGAAAGCAGGGGAUCUUCGGACCUUGCGCGAUUGAAUGAGCCGAUGUCGGAUUAGCUAGUUGGCGGGGUAAAGGCCCACCAAGGCGACGAUCCGUAGCUGGUCUGAGAGGAUGAUCAGCCACACUGGAACUGAGACACGGUCCAGACUCCGACGGGAGGCAGCAGUGGGGAAUAUUGGACAAUGGGCGCAAGCCUGAUCCAGCCAUACCGCGUGGGUGAAGAAGGCCUUCGGGUUGUAAAGCCCUUUUGUUGGGAAAGAAAAGCAGCAGGUUAAUACCCCGCUGUUCUGACGGGACCCAAAGAAUAAGCACCGGCUAACUGCGU